rnacentral:rRNA from 1 species
GACGAACGCUGGCGGCGUGCUUAAUACAUGCAAGUCGAACGGAAAGGCCCUGCUUUUGUGGGGUGCUCGAGUGCGAACGGGUGAGUAACACGUGAGUAACCUGCUCUUGACGUUGGGAUAACUUCAGGAAACUGGGGCUACUACUGGCUAGGAGCUCCUGCUGCAUGGUGGGUGUUGAAUAGUUUCGGCGGUUGGGGAUGGACUCGCGGCUUAUCCGCUUGUUGGUGGGGUAGUGGCUUACCAAGGCUUUGACGGGUAGCCGGCCUGAGAGGGUGACCGGCCACAUUGGGACUGAGAUACGGCCCAGACUCCUACGGGAGGCAGCAGUGGGGAAUAUUGCACAAUGGGCGGAAGCCGGAUGCAGCAACGCCGCGUGCGGGAUGACGGCCUUCGGGUUGUAAACCGCUUGCGCCUGUGACGAAGCGUGAGUGACGGUAAUGGGUAAAGAAGCACCGGCUAACUACGUG